rnacentral:misc_RNA from 1 species
AACGCACAUUGCGCCCCUCGGUAUUCCGUGGGGCAUGCCUGUUCGAGCGUCAUCUACACCCUCAAGCUCUGCUUGGUGUUGGGCGUCUGUCCCGCCUCUGCGCGCGGACUCGCCCCAAAUUCAUUGGCAGCGGUCCUUGCCCCCUCUCGCGCAGCACAUUGCGCUUCUCGAGGGGCGCGGCCCGCGUCCACGAAGCAAACAUUACCGUCUUUGACCUCGGAUCAGGUAGGGAUACCCGCUGAACUUAA